GAUGAAGAACGUAGCGAAAUGCGAUAAGUAAUGUGAAUUGCAGAAUUCAGUGAAUCAUCGAAUCUUUGAACGCACAUUGCGCCCGCUGGUAUUCUAGCGGGCAUGCCUGUUCGAGCGUCAUUACAACCCUCAGGCCCCCGGGCCUGGCGUUGGGGAUCGGCGGAAGCCCCCUGCGGGCACAACGCCGUCCCCCAAAUACAGUGGCGGUCCCGCCGCAGCUUCCAUUGCGUAGUAGCUAACACCUCGCAACUGGAGAGCGGCGCGGCCACGCCGUAAAACACCCAACUUCUGAAUGUUGACCUCGAAUCAGGUAGGAAUACCCGCUGAACUUAAGCAUAUCAAUAAGCGGAGGA
rnacentral:misc_RNA from 1 species